rnacentral:rRNA from 1 species
UGGGGAAUUUUGGACAAUGGGCGAAAGCCUGAUCCAGCCAUGCCGCGUGAGUGAAGAAGGCCUUCGGGUUGUAAAGCUCUUUUAGUCGGAAAGAAAGAGUUGCAAUGAAUAAUUGUGAUUUAUGACGGUACCGACAGAAAAAGCACCGGCUAACUACGUGCCAGCAGCCGCGGUAAUACGUAGGGUGCGCGCGUUAAUCGGAAUUACUAGGCGUAGAGGGUGCGCAGGCGGCCUUGCAAGUCAGAUGUGAAAGCCCCGGGCUUAACCUGGGAAUUGCGUUUGAAACUACAAGACUAGAGUGCAGCAGAGGGGAGUGGAAUUCCAUGUGUAGCAGUGAAAUGCGUAGAGAUGUGGAAGAACACCGAUGGCGAAGGCAGCUCCCUGGGUUGACACUGACGCUCAUGCACGAAAGCGUGGGGAGCAAACA